AAUGAACGUUGGCGGCAUGGAUUAGGCAUGCAAGUCGAGCGAGAAGUGUAGCAAUACACGGAAAGCGGCGGAAGGGAGAGUAAUACGUGGGAAUCUGCCCUUAGACCUGGGAUAGCAGCGGGAAACUGCUGGUAAUACCAGAUAAUGUCUAUGGACCAAAGGUGUGAUUCCGUCUAGGGAUGAGCCCACGUCCUAUUAGCUAGUUGGUAGGGUAAUGGCCUACCAAGGCGAUGAUGGGUAGCGGGUGUGAGAGCAUGACCCGCCUCAAUGGGACUGAGACACUGCCCAGACACCUACGGGUGGCUGCAGUCGAGAAUCUUCGGCAAUGGGCGCAAGCCUGACCGAGCGAUGCCGCGUGCGGGAUGAAGGCCUUCGGGUUGUAAACCGCUGUCGAGGGGGAGCAACUUCCAUAGAGUUAUCUUUAUGGAUUGAGUGAUCCCUGGAGGAAGGACGGGCUAAGUUCGUGCCAGCAGCCGCCGUAA
rnacentral:rRNA from 1 species